UCAUUCACAAUUAUCAUCUUUGAUUAUAUAUAUAUAUAUAUAUAUAUAUAUAUAUAUAUAUAUAUAUAUAUAUAUAUAUAUAUAUAUAUUUGUGUGUGUGUGUGUUUUAAUUUGUUUGUAAUAUUGACUUGUUAUUGAUUUAAUUGGAUUGUUGCUGGUGAUGGGUUUGUGAGUUUUCUAUAGGUUUUUUCUUAUUUGAAUUUAUCGAAUAAAUUUUAAGUGUUUUCUUACGAUGUUUGUAAGGAAUUUGGUCUCUUUAUGUAUUAUUUUACGGGUCUUUAUUAUUUG
rnacentral:lncRNA from 1 species